GACACUUAAUCUUUGGAUUUAGGAGAGAGGUUAGAGAGAGAGUAGAGAGAGAAGGAAAAAGCUUCAAAUGAGUGCUAAAACAUGUUUAUAUAGUCCCUAAAACUUGGACACGGUGGAAUUCUACCCGAUACCGGCCUUAAACGAUGCUUUGGGUCGCACCCGAUUGAGUUUUCGUCACCCGACGAGGAUAUUUCUAAAACUUAAGAAAUAAAUGUUUUGGGCUAAAUUCAUGAGUUCCUAAAUGAUUUGGACCCUCAUUGAAUGAAAAUAAAUAUAUAAUUUUAGUUAACUAAGCCCAAAAACGAUAACGGGACAUUUCGAUUUCCGACGAGUUAUACGGGUAGAACGGGUUUUCGGCGAUGAACAACUUCGGGUUGUUACAUUAUCCCCCCGUUAGAGGGAAUUUCGUCCCGAAAUUCAAAGAAUAAGAUACAGGUCAUGGAUUGGAAUGAAACAUGAAUGGAUUUGUUGCUUCGGAUCUUCACUUUCUCAAGUGGAAUCAGGGCUCUAUUGAGUGUUCUAAUGAAUUCUCGUUAUCGGGACAUGUCUUGGUUUCGCUUCUUGACUCUCUCUCAAUUCACGAUAUCAAUCUGCUUUCUCGUGGAAGCUCCAACCCCGAAUAACUUCGGUUUCCUCAAAGGAAUCACUAGGGUUUCGUUGGGCAGACGCUUCCUAGGAUUCGAGACGUGAUGGUCUAAAUAGUUGUUACCAAGUUCUAAGGGCAUCCGAAACUUGAAGGUUGCUGAAUCGAUCUCUACGAAGAUCUCGAAAGGUUUGAUGUGAGACUAAACUAGAUGCUCGAAAGAAACUCCCGGGAAUCCUUCGGGAUAGACAUUUAGAGGGAAUAGUUGCUAACUUCCCGUUUCUCAAUAAUCACAGAAACGAGGGAUGCGUGAUAAUUUACAUUGGGAAAACUUUUGAGUUCUAAGGCAUAGAAUGAUACGAAAGUUUGAUGCCGAAGAUCACGAGAACAUGGUCGAGAAAGAAAUCUAUACGAGCGACCCUUUCGAAAACAAAGAUAACAACGCGAACGAAAACUCGGUCAUUUCUGGUUAAACAUGGCAUCAAAGUAUUUUCAUGGAAAGUUUCCCCCUUUAUAAAUUGAAUGGAAUAGAAUAGUCCUCCGGACCGAGGAUUCAAUCUAUAGGUACGAAGUUAGUGUUCUCUAUCUCACUAGUUAGUCGUCUCGACGGUAUACAUUUCGAUUACAUACGAAGGAUUGAGUUUAGAAUAUGUUCGAAUAGAUAGAUAACAGGUUUCCCUUUUUGCACCCAAAAUCGAAAAGAGUUGCAAGUAUAAGAAUUAUCAAAGAGAGAUAUACCUGCGGCAGCAGAGGGAUUUGUGGUUGUAGCUGUCUUGGGACAAUUCCUUUUGAAGUGCCCAGCUUCACCACAAUUGUAGCAGGCCGGACUGAUUCCCGUUCCAGAUGAUUGGUUCGUUGGCUUCGCUGGUUUUCUACAGGUUCGCGCAAGAUGGCCCUUAUUGCCACAGUUGUCGCAGAUCCUUUCGCGACAUGGUCCAGGAAUGCGGUGGUGGUAGUUGCACUUACCACACCAAGGAAGGGUACCAGUAUAUCCACUGGCGGGAGUUUGGGCUGUGGAACCUACAGCUGAAACAGCAACAGGGGCAGUAGCAGCAUGGACUGCUACCGUUUGCUGUUUCUUAGAAGACCCUUGCGUACUCUGGGCCUUCCGCUUGUUCCAGGAUUUCUUUUUACUUCCGCCUCCACUAGUGACUGGCUCGGGGGUAGUAGCUUCUUCAUCAGAGUUGUCUUCGUGAUCUAUCAGGAUUUUCGCAAGACAUUUGGCACUGUCAUAAGUGUCUGGCUUCGCAGCCAAGACAUUCCCCUUUGUUGGCUGGGUCAACCCCCAGAUGAAUCUCUCUAUCUUUUUACUUUCCGGGGUAACCAUUCCCGGACAAAGUAGGGCCAGAUCGUCGAAUCUUGAGGUAUAAGCAGCUAUGUCAGAACCCUUCAUCUUAAGGUUCCAUAGUUCAUGUUCUAGCUUCUGAAGUUCGCCCCGAGGGCAAUACUCUGCGAGAAGAAGCUCCUUCAUAGCUUCCCAACCCAUAGCAUUGGCUACAGGUAAAGUUAAGGAUUUGACUCGGCCAUUCCACCAAGUCAGGGCUUUGUCUAGGAAGGUACAGGCGGCAAACUUGACUCUAUCAGACUCCGAACAGCCACAUAUUUCAAAGAUUGAUUCGAUUCUCUCGAACCAUCGGGUUAAGGCAAUGACACCCCCUGUGCCAUCGAAGAAUGUCGGUUUUGCGUUCAUGAAGUCUUUAUAGGAACCCCCUUUUUGGUGUCCCUGGCUAUCUUCUGGGUUUUGGUGUUGGGGAUCACCUCCUGAAUUUCUAGAGUUCAUUUGCGACAUGGCUGCUACCAUUGCAGCAGUCAGAACUGUCUGAAGUGAUGCAAGAUCAAGUUGAAGAGGAGGAUUGUUGUUGUUCGUUGAGCUGGGUCUCUUUCUUGGAGGCAUCUUGAUCUAAAAAGAUCAGGAAAGAGAGGAUCAUAAGUCCUCUGAAUUGAAUCAAGAGAUAUGGGACAGGAGAUAUCUCAUCAAGGCAAAUAUAGCAUCAUACAAAGCGAUAAAGCAGAAAGGAGUUAUCAAGAUAGAACAUUUUAUCGCUAGAGGAAUGAUCAAGGAAUAACGCGUAUACGAGAAUUUCUACAAAGGAUCGGCUCGAGAAAUACUCCCAUAGUAUUUCAUGGUUCGCUGCAGCGACGAUUUGUUGUUUGGGAUAUUGGGUAAGUUUUAGGUAUGCCGCAUGCCACAGUCACUCCCAAGCACAUGUUGGCCGUGUCUCGAAUGAAUAUAGUUGGCCAGGCUAUAUUGACCCUAGACACGACUACAUAACUGCCCAGGUUUAACCGCAGUGUACAACACCCAUUUACUUAUGUUUUGUUCUACUUGUAGUUACGGAUUUCGACGGCUCGGCAUACUUAAAUACUUUUGAAAAUACUUAUAUCUUGUAGGAUACUUUUAGUUCAGAGCACUUAGGCCCCUUAAUGUUUAUAGUUUUAUACCAUGUAAGGUUUGGUAUACUCUGUUCACUAUAAACAAGGGCUCUGAUACCAAUCUGUCACACCCCGAAAACCAAAGGCGGAAACGUUCCCGGGGUUGACUCCAUGUUGUGUAUCAAAUCCAAUGUACAUAGUAAUCACAGUAAACAACCAUUACAUUACAUAUAUAUGAAAGUUUACAUUUGGUUCAAAAGUAAAUUGUACAAAAGUUAUACAUAUAUCAUAUGAACAAAAGAGACGAGUCUUCGGAGCACUCCAUCUUCACCAAAAGAUAUCGCCGGGUACCUGUCUAACUUGGACCUGAGAAUACAAGCAGUUUGAAAAUCAGCAUAAAGCUGGUGAGUUCAUAAGCGGUUUUGUUUUGUGAAAAUGUAUCGAUUUCCUUUAGUUUUCUGAAAAGAUUUGAUAUCCAAGAAAAUCCCAUAUUUUCUUAUGUAAAGUAGUUAAGUUAUCUUUCAUUACAGUUCUGUUACAGAUAUAAGUUAACCCCAGGAAAAUCCCAUAUUUUCCUAAUUGCAAGAUUGAUUGGAUAACACAUAGUAUAGUUUAAUAUACAAAACUAUAAUUUAGACGAACUGUAAAUAGAAAGUAUUUUGAAAACCUUGGGACAACAUCCCGAACCAGUUAUAAGAUAAUUCGAUAAAGACCAUGGGAUCACUAUCCCGAAAGUAGAUAUAAGAUAGCUUGAUAAACCAUGGGAUCACUAUCCCGAAACUAGAUAUAAGAUAGCUUGAUAAAAUCAUGGGAUUAUCAUCCCGUAUAAGAUUUAGUUUCAAAACCAUGGGAUUGCCAUCCCGAACGAAAUAUAGACACAAGAUCAUGGGAUUAUCAUCCCGAACGAGAUAUAGACAUAAAACCAUGGGAUUACCAUCCCGAACGAGAUAUAGAUUACAAGACCAUGGGAUUACCAUCCCGAACAAGAUAUAGAUUCUAAACAGAUCCUAGCUGUGAAUAAGUUUAUAUUAAUACGUAUUGUGAGUCGGGUAACCAUGCUGAUAUGACAACGAGACCUCCUUGACGUUAGUCAGACGUCGAAUGAUAUCCAGAAUUUGUCACCCCAGGCGUGCCCGCCUAACUGUAGCUAGCAGUUAAGGUGUGGGAUUGUCAGUCCCGAAUAGAUCUAUUCACAAACUCUUCGCUCUCCCUCCAGGAGACUCUGGUUACACUUCCGGAGAGGAUUUACUUGAUCAUCCAUAAAGGGUAGUGACUAUCUCACAAACUAGUAUUUAACUAUUCACAGGAUUCUUAUACGAUUACAAACAUACAUAGACUUUAAGACAUGAUACAGUGAAAAAUAGAUACAUACAAUGAAAUUAUCUGGCAAAAACAUUCGAAUGAUACGGAGAUAAACUGAAUCAGACAUAGUUUAUCUAAUAACUUAAUACAGAUAUCAGUACAUGAUAUAAAGAGAAACAUAGAACCCCAAAUUAUUCCCAUAAUAAUUUGAUUAGUUUGGUUAUUUUCUUAACUAAAAUCCAUUUAGUUGUAAUUGAUAAAUCAUUCCUUAUGCUCAACAUAAUACAUAAGGAGUAAAAGAGUUUAUAAGAUUGCCAGAUAUUAUUUGAAACACAUAAAUGUUAUGAUUUGAAAACAGUUUUGGUUUGCUUGUAUUCCCCCCCUGAAAACAGUUAAAAACAGUGAAAAAGGCGUAGGGGUAUGAACUCACCGGACGAGAAGUAUGACGAUUUGGAUGCUAAGAGUUGAUCCGGGGCUUGUAAAUACACGAGGUUCCUAAUUAUAAUGUAAAGAUACACAUUUGUAUCUAAUUAGGACUUAGAUUGAUUGUUGGAUAGGGACAAUUGCUUCUAGUCGCGAAAACACUCCGAUACGAGUGUUUGGAGGGACCCGGGUGGCGUUUAAGGAUGUGAAAUGACACUAGGGACUUGGGACUUGAGUUUACUCCCCAUGAGUAAACUUAUACAAGAGUUUUAGGUCCAAAACACCCAUUCCCCAUGAGUUUACGGCCGUAAACUCAUGGUAGGGUGGUUUAGAGUGCAAAUUUGGGUUAUAAAUGGAUAUGGACACUUGGAAAUGCUUGGAUUAAUUUUUCUUAAGGCUUGGAUUAAUUUAAAAACAUCAUUUACAACACAUAAGGGAGUUUACGGCCUAGGCAUGGGUUCUUUGGCCGUAAACUCUCAAUUCUCCAAGAUUUAGUGUUUUUAAGUUGUUAAAAUCAAUCACAUGUGAUUCUAAAAAUUCCCACAAGCCUAGAAAUGAGUUUGCAAGUGACAUAUGAGGGAUUUAUGGAGUUUACGGCCCAUGAAACCCCCUUCAUGGCCGUAAACUCUAAUAUAUGGUGCUACAAGGUGUUUCAAGGUCUAAAACUUGCAUGAAAGGACUUCUAAAAUUCAUCUAAGGGCCUUAGGGGUGUUUAGUUUGCAUUCUAACACCAAAAAUUUUGGAGUUUACGGCCCAAGAACAGGUCUUGGCCGUAAACUCUUAGAAAUCCCAUAAAAGAUGUGUUUAAGGCCCUUAAAGUAUUUUUGGUUGGUCCCUUGAUUUAUUCCAAGGCUUUUGGUGGUGUUGGAUGGCUUUCUAACACCUUAGAAUUGGAUUUAUGCCAAGUUUUGGGGAGUUUACGGCCCAAGCACUAUCCUUGGCCGUAAACUCAUCUAAAUCCCCCAAAAUUCAUGUUUCAAGUGUCCAAAUGCUAAUACCAAGGUCCUAUAAUUCAUAUCUAAGCCAUAGAGGUGAUUUGGAAGGGUUUAAAGGCAUGAAAAACCCCAUUAACAUGAGUUUACGGCCCAAGCUUAUGCCUUGGCCGUAAACUCCUUCAAAGUCCUCAAAAUCAUAGUUUUAAGUGUUCUAAGUCCAUAUCUUGAAGUCCCUUAGCCAUAUCUAAAGUCCAAUUGAGUUUAGGAAGGAGUUUAAGGGCUAAAAACCCUUCAAAAUGGUGUUUACGGCCUAGGCAGCCUCCUGGGCCGUAAACUCACAUAUAUUGUCCAAUUUCAUGAUUAAGUGUCUAAUUUGGAAGCUAAACAUGCUAUAGAUUAAGGCUAGGAAGGUACCUUAAGGAUUUGAAGCCUUAAAUUUGAGUUUUGGACACUUAAUCUUUGGAUUUAGGAGAGAGGUUAGAGAGAGAGUAGAGAGAGAAGGAAAAAGCUUCAAAUGAGUGCUUAAACAUGUUUAUAUAGUUCCUAAAACUUGGACACGGUGGAAUUCUACCCGAUACCGGCCUUAAACGAUGCUUUGGGUCGCACCCGAUUGAGUUUCCGUCACCCGACGAGGAUAUUUCUAAAACUUAUGAAAUAAAUGUUUUGGGCUAAAUUCAUGAGUUCCUAAAUGAUUUGGACCCUCAUUGAAUGAAAAUAAAUAUAUAAUUUUAGUUAACUAAGCCCAAAAACGAUAACGGGACAUUUCGAUUUCCGACGAGUUAUUCGGGUAGAACGGGUUUUCGGCGAUGAACAACUUCGGGUUGUUACAUUAUCCCCCCGUUAGAGGGAAUUUCGUCCCGAAAUUCAAAGAAUAAGAUAUAGGUUAUGGAUUGGAAUGAGAUACGGAUGGAUUUGUUGCUUCGGAUCUUCACUUUCUCAAGUGGAAUCAAGUCUCUAUUGGGCGUUCUAACGAAUUCUCAUUAUCGGAACAUGCCUUGGUUUCGCUUCUUGACUCUCUCUCAAUCUACGAUAUCAAUCUGCUUUCUCGUGGAAGCUCCAACCCUGAAUGACUUCGGUUUCCUCAAAGGAAUCACUAGGGUUUCGUUGGGCAGACGUUUCUAAGGAUUCGAGACGUGAUGGUCUAGAUAGAUAUUACCAAGCUCUAAGGGCAUCCGAAACCUGAAGGUUGCUGAAUCGAUCUCUACGAAGAUCUCGAAAGGUUUGAUGUGAGACUAAACUAGAUGCUCGAAAGAAACUCCCGGGAAUCCUUCGGGAUAGACAUUUAGAGGGAAUAGUUGCUAACUUCCCGUUUCUCAAUAAUCACAGAAACGAGGGAUGCGUGGUAAUUCACAUUGGGAAAACUUUUGAGUUCUAAGGCAUAGAAUGAUACGAAAGUUUGAUGCCGAAGAUCACGAGAAUCGGGUCGAGAAAAAGAUCUAACGAGCGGCCCUUUCGAAAGUAAAGAUAACAACGCGAACGAAAACUCGGUCAUUUCUGGUUAAACAUGGCAUCAAAGUAUUUUCAUGGAAAGUUUCCCCCUUUAUAAAUCGAAUGGAAUAGAAUAGUCCUCCGGACCGAGGAUUCAAUCUAUAGGUACGAAGUUAGUGUUCUCUAUCUCACUAGUUAGUCGUCUCGACGGUAUACAUUUCGAUUACAUACGAAGGAUUGAGUUUAGAAUAUGUUCGAAUAGAUAGAUAACAGGUUUCCCUUUUGCACCCAAAAUCGAAAAGAGUUGCAAGUAUAAGAAUUAUCAAAGAGAGAUAUACCU
rnacentral:lncRNA from 1 species